GCUGGGCUCCGUGGCGUGUGCCUACAGGCACUCGGGAGGCUGUGGGAGGGUCACUUGAGCCCAGGAGUUCUGAGCUAUGCCGUUGGGUGCCCGCAAUAAGUUUGGCAUCAAUAUGUGACCUCCUGGGAGUGGGGCACCACCAGGUUGCCAAAGGAGGGGUAAACCAGCCCAGGUUGGAAAUGGAGCAGGCCAAAACUUCUGUGCUGAUCAGUAGUGGGAUCGUGCCUGUGAAUAGCCACUGCACUCCAGCCUGGGCAACAUAGUGAGAUCCUGUCU
ensembl:misc_RNA Metazoa_SRP Metazoan signal recognition particle RNA